rnacentral:rRNA from 1 species
GAUGGUGGAAAGUUUUUUCGGUUGGGGAUGGGCUCGCGGCCUAUCAGUUUGUUGGUGAGGUAAUGGCUCACCAAGACGACGACGGGUAGCCGGCCUGAGAGGGCGACCGGCCACACUGGGACUGAGACACGGCCCAGACUCCUACGGGAGGCAGCAGUGGGGAAUAUUGCACAAUGGGGGAAACCCUGAUGCAGCGACGCAGCGUGCGGGAUGACGGCCUUCGGGUUGUAAACCGCUUUCAGCAGGGAAGAAGCCUUUAUCGGUGACGGUACCUGCAGAAGAAGUACCGGCUAACUACGUGCCAGCAGCCGCGGUAAUACGUAGGGUACAAGCGUUGUCCGGAAUUAUUGGGCGUAAAGAGCUCGUAGGUGGUUGGUCACGUCUGCUGUGGAAACGCAACGCUUAACGUUGCGCGUGCAGUGGGUACGGGCUGACUAGAGUGCAGUAGGGGAGUCUGGAAUUCCUGGUGUAGCGGUGAAAUGCGCAGAUAUCAGGAGGAACACCGGUGGCGAAGGCGGGACUCUGGGCUGUAACUGACACUGAGGAGCGAAAGCAUGGGGAGCGAACAGGAUUAGAUACCCUGGUAGUCCAUGCCGUAAACGUUGGGCACUAGGUGUGGGGGACAUUCCACGUUCUCCGCGCCGUAGCUAACGCAUUAAGUGCCCCGCCUGGGGAGUACGGUCGCAAGGCUAAAACUCAAAGGAAUUGACGGGGGCCCGCACAAGCGGCGGAGCAUGCGGAUUAAUUCGAUGCAACGCGAAGAACCUUACCAAGGCUUGACAUACACCAGACCGUUCUGGAAACAGUUCCUCCCCUUUGGGGUUGGUGUACAGGUGGUGCAUGGUUGUCGUCAGCUCGUGUCGUGAGAUGUUGGGUUAAGUCCCGCAACGAGCGCAACCCUCGUUCUAUGUUGCCAGCACGUGAUGGUGGGAACUCAUAGGAGACUGCCGGGGUCAACUCGGAGGAAGGUGGGGAUGACGUCAAAUCAUCAUGCCCUUUAUGUCUUGGGCUUCACGCAUGCUACAAUGGCUGGUACAGAGAGAUGCGAGACCGCGAGGUUUUAGCGAAUCCCUUAAAGCCAGUCUCAGUUCGGAUNGUAGUCUGCAAUUCGACUACGGAAGUCGGAGUCGCUAGUAAUCGCAGAU